AGAGUGGAAAGAGGGAGGAUAGGGAAGAACACAAUGGCCGACAUCUCCACAGUCAUCCGUAUGAUUGUCACUCUGGUUUUGGCUCUGGUUUCCAUUGUGGGAAGCAGUAUAAUAAUCAUUCGAGCGUUAGGCAUGGGUGUAGGCAUUUCAUUUAUAGUCAUCCUAUUGGUGAUAGCUCUGAUAUGGAGCUUAAUGGAGCAGAGACAGGUGGCCUAGGCCCAUUACGAUUUCAGUUUAUGCAUUCAACUCAAGUACUGAACUAUGCCCGACAAGUGGUUUUCCCUUUGCUUUCUUUCUUGGUUAAUGAUUCAAAGAGAUAGCCUUCUAUUUCUGGGCAACAACAUUGAAAAUUUGCCCAUUGAAAGUACACUCCACGCUUUGUAUUUCCAAGCAGUUUUAAUGUAAUAAUAUUCGAUUUAGCUUUUAAUAUGUUUUUUUAA